rnacentral:lncRNA from 1 species
GCAAAUUCAUAUCCAAGCGCCACCAACUGGGACCCAAGUGGACAACAACCACAAUUUCGAGGCUGCGUUUGCGCCAAAGUCUGACCCAGAUGUGUCCUCGUCCGAUCUGUCCUCUUCGCCAUCCGAGAGCCCGGGAGGCACUUCAUCAUCCAUGAGCUCUCCAAUAAACCCCGCCGUGAGCGAAAUGAGCUGCAGUAGCCCUAAACCAACACCGUCUCCUUCCAACUCUGGUAAGACUUACAUUUAUAGCUCUGUUUACCCUCAAUCUUUACAUCAUAAA